rnacentral:rRNA from 1 species
GAUGAACGCUGGCGGCGUGCCUAAUACAUGCAAGUCGAGCGAACGGACGAGAAGCUUGCUUCUCUGAUGUUAGCGGCGGACGGGUGAGUAACACGUGGAUAACCUACCUAUAAGACUGGGAUAACUUCGGGAAACCGGAGCUAAUACCGGAUGAUAUUUUGAACCGCAUGGUUCAAAAGUGAAAGACGGUCUUGCUGUCACUUAUAGAUGGAUCCGCGCUGCAUUAGCUAGUUGGUAAGGUAACGGCUUACCAAGGCAACGAUGCAUAGCCGACCUGAGAGGGUGAUCGGCCACACUGGAACUGAGACACGGUCAAGACUCCUACGGGAGGCAGCAGUAGGGAAUCUUCCGCAAUGGGCGAAAGCCUGACGGAGCAACGCCGCGUGAGUGAUGAAGGUCUUCGGAUCGUAAAACUCUGUUAUUAGGGAAGAACAUAUGUGUAAGUAACUGUGCACAUCUUGACGGUACCUAAUCAGAAAGCCACGGCUAACUGCGUG